rnacentral:rRNA from 1 species
GACGAACGCUGGCGGCGUGCCUAAUACAUGCAAGUAGAACGCACAGUUGAUACCGUAGCUUGCUACACCAUAGACUGUGAGUUGCGAACGGGUGAGUAACGCGUAGGUAACCUGCCUGGUAGCGGGGGAUAACUAUUGGAAACGAUAGCUAAUACCGCAUAAUAUUAAUUAUUGCAUGAUAAUUAAUUGAAAGGUGCAAUUGCACCACUACCAGAUGGACCUGCGUUGUAUUAGCUAGUAGGUGAGGUAACGGCUCCCCUAGGCGACGAUACCUAGCCGACCUGGGGGGGUGAUCGGCCCCACUGGGACUGAGACACGGCCCAGACUCCUCCGGGAGGCAGCAGUAGGGCAUCUUCGGCAAUGGACGAAAGUCUGACCGAGCAACGCCGCGUGAGUGGAGACGGUUAUCGGAUCGUAAAGCUCUGUUGUAAGAGAAGAACGGGUGUGAGCGUGGAAAGUUCACCCUGUGACGGUAUCUUCCCAGAAGGGGACGGCUAACUACGUG